rnacentral:lncRNA from 1 species
GAAUACUCUGUACCCUUCUCACCCCAAAUUCUUCUGAAAUCUCAUCCAUCCCCUUCUAUUUAGUGUUCUAUUGUUAGCUUUUUCCCUGUAACUUCCAGUUAUUAAUGAAAACAAGUUUUCUUAUUGCCGUGGAUCUCUAAGUUUAUCAAUUUUUUACUUCAUUGGAGCUUUCAUUGAUGUUCCAAUGGUGGACACACGACUUAUGGUUUUGGAAGACGGCCAAAACGGAUUAGCUCGUGAGGUAUGUGAUAUCAAAACUGCUAUGGAUAAUCAAAACAAGCUGAUGUAGGAGAUCCUCUCACAAAUGUCCAAUAUUGGUGCUCGUAUGCAUGAUUCUGUGGGUGAGCCUUCACCACGGCACCCGUCGGAGGUUGUCAUUUCUCAAGGAUCUGGAACAAGUGGUCCAGUGUCUCUACGACACAAACCAACUGCGGUUGAGCUCUACCGUUUCAGUGGCGAUAACCCAGAUGAUUGGAUUUUUUAUGCGACCAGGUAUUUCGAUUUCUAUUCUAUCCUCACGGAGCAUCGUUUGAACAUCGCAUCCUUUUAUCUUGACGAAGAAGCUCAGGCUUGGUACCGGUGGAUGCACCGUAACAACCAGUUGGUAGGUUGGGAUGAUUUCUCUGAGAAACUGAUUCGCCGUUUCCGGCAAAAGACCCUACAAUCACCUGAAGGUCGUCUUUCUAAGCUUCACCAGACCUCGUCAGUGGCAGAGUUCCGCUCACGUUUUGAGGCUUUGUCUAACGAAACAGAGGAGAUAUCAGACUCAUAGUUGGUUCACUUCUUCACUUCGGGCCUUAAUUCGGAUAUUCAAACUAAUUUGUUAAUCCAACAGCCCAAAACAUUAGAGGAGGCAAUGCGUUUAGCCCAUCUCCACGAACAACGCAUUGAGUUGGAGCGGGGUCCCAAUAGACCUAUCCUGGGUAAUACGCAACCUCUCUUUCCAACCCCUUCUAAAUUUCCACUCACUCAAACACGACCUACCCCUAGUGUUAACACUGCUGCUUCUAGCAAAAUUCCUUUUAAACGUCUUUCGCCAAUCGAGCUCCGACAACGCCGUGAAAAGGGUUUAUGUACCAUUGCGACGAAAAAUACACUCCAAACCAUAGGUGUAAAAACCUACCCCAACUCCUUCUUUUUGAUAAUGAGCCAGAACCCCAACUUUGUUUUCCAGACCCCAUUGCCUCUGAUGAGAUUCCUUCAGAGGAGUUCACAAACUUGGAACUUCAGGACCAUUCUGCUAUUUCCUAUCAUGCAUUGGCAUGAGGGCAUUCUGGUUUAAGGGCCAUGUGAGUGGCUCACCGGUUCAAGUGUUGGUGGUUGGAGGUAGUAAACACAAUUUUGUGCAAACCAGGGCUACAAAGUUUCUUAAUUUCACUAUUACUGCUAUUCCUCGUUUCCCUAUUGUUGUGGGUAGUGGGCAAAGCCUAAUUUGUGAAGGGCUAGUGCCUCAAGUAACCUUUACAGUCUAGGGCUCUGAAAUUAUUCUGGAUUUGUAUGUCCUACCCAUGCAUGGGGCGGAUAUUGUCUUGGGUGUGUCGUGGCUAGCCUCUUUGGGAUCUGUAAUGAGAGAUUAUGCUAGUCGAGUUUUUGAAUUCACACUCAAGGAUAAAUGGGUUCAUUGGAUAGCAGACCCACCCUUGGAUGUGCAACAAAAGCAAUUGCAGACCUUGCGUCGUUAUUCCAUGACUGAGGCAGCAACAUCUUAUUUUUGCCUGAUGAUGGUUCAAGAGGGAAUCACCUCUAAUUUAGAUCAUCCCCCGGAUUUGUCUAACAUUCUUGUCAACUUUGCUGAUGUAUUUAAAAAACCACAAGGGUUGCCUCCACCUCGCCAGUAAGAUCAUUCAAUUCCAUUAAUUCCAAAUGCCGGCCUAGUUAAUGUGAAGCCUUAUCGAUACCCCUAUUUUCAAAAACAAGUCAUGGAACAACUGGUGUCCGAUAUGCUGUCUGAGGGUAUAAUCCGCCAAAGUACUAGCCCGUUCUCUUCUCCAGUGUUGCUAGUUCGAAAGAAGGAUGGUACUUGGCGAUUUUGUGUUGAUUAUUGAGCUUUAAAUGCGAUCACAGUUCGGGAUCGGUUUCCUUUUCCCUCUAUAGAUGAAUUGUUCGAUGAGCUGUACGAAGCCAAAUUCUUUUCCAAACUGGAUUUAUUAUCAGGGUAUCAUCAGAUACGAGUUAAACCAGAAGAUGUGGCAAAAAUGGCUUUUCAUACCCACGAUGGGCAUUACGAGUUCUUAGUCAUGCCAUUUGGGUUGUCAAAUGUUCCGUCGACGUUCCAAGCUACAAUGAAUGAGAUAUUCAUACCACGCUUGCAUCAUUUUAUUCUAGUUUUCUUCGACGACAUCUUGGUCUAUAGCACCUCUUGGGAGUCCCAUCUACUACAUUUGGAUCAAGUUCUGCGUUUGCUUCGCUCAAAUCACCUAGUGACCAAAAGAUCAAAAUGCUUGUUUGGGCAAACUCAGGUGGAAUACUUGGGUCACAUGAUUUCUGCUGAACGACUGGCUAUGGAUCUAUCCAAAAUUCAGGUGAUACAAUCUUGGCCCACGCCCAAUUCCGUUAAGGAUGUUAGAAGCUUUUUGGGCUUAGCAGGGUACUAUCGCCGCUUCAUCAAGCAUUAUGCGGCCUUAACCAACCCACUAACAGAUCUCCUGCGCAAGGACUCAUUUGUUUAGACUACCCAAACCCAAUCAACAUUUGAGGAUUUAAAAGGUCGCUUAAGUUCCACUCCAGUAUUGGCCCUACCUAAUUUCAAAGAAGAUUUCACCUUAGAGACAGAUGCUUCAGGACUAGCCAUAGGCGCUGUAUUAUCUCAAAAUGGUCACCCAAUUGCGUAUUACAACCAGAAGGUUUGUCCAAAAAUGCAACGGGCUUCCAAUUAAAAUCGAGAGAUGUUUGCAAUCACGCAAGCAGUCUCCAAAUGGAGGCAAUAUUUAUUGGGAAGAUGAUUUACUAUCUUUACGAAUCAGCAGUCAUUGCGAAAUCUCAGGGACCAAGUCAUUCAAACCCCGAAACAACAAAAAUGGUUGACCAAGUUGGUGGGUUAUGAUUUCGACAUUGUAUAUAAGCCAGGAAGAAGUAACAAGGCUGCAGAUGCAUUAUCUCGACCUCCUGAAACCUCAAUGAUGGCCAUUUCAACCAGAACUUUCGAUUUCGUAGAUGAAUUACGCUUGACAAAUAAAGAGCAUCCUAAGUUACUUGCCAUUCAAAGUGGUCUUGACAGUGAUCCUACAGCAUAUUCAGAAUUUUCCUUCAGGGAAGGAUUAUUGUUGUUUCAAGGUAGAUUGGUUCUUCCUUCUGAUUCUUCCCUUAAGCAGUAUCUAUUGCAAGAAUUUCACAAUUCACCGGUGGGGGGGGACAUGCCCGGGUAGCCAGAACUUUCCACCGUCUAUCUUCUAAUUUUUAUUGGAAGCACAUGAGGAAGGAUGUGAGUACACACAUUGCAUCUUGUCAAGUUUGCCAACAAAUGAAGGAUAUUUUCAAAUACCCGGUUGGACUGCUUCAACCACUACCGAUUCCUUCCAUAGUUUUCGAGGAGAUAGCUAUGGAUUUCAUUACUUGUCUCCCAAGUUCGAAGGGUAAAUCAACUAUAAUGACUGUCGUGGAUCGACUUUCUAAGUAUGGCCACUUCAUUGCUCUUCCAUCUUCAUUUUCAGCAAUCUCUGUUGCUAGUGUGUUUGUCGGCGACAUUAUCAAACUCCGUGGACCACCCCGGGUCAUAGUCAGUGAUCGAGAUGCUAGGUUCUUUCAAUCCUUUUGGAAAGAAAUCAAUCGCCUUCAAGGAACUACUUUGGCCAUGAGUACCGCCUACCAACCACAAACGGAUGGUCAAUCCGAAGCCCUUAACAAGUGCAUUGAGCAAUACCUUCGUUGUUUUGUUGCCGAUAGUCCCCAUGAUUGGGUUCAAGUACUGCCUUAGGCUGAGUUUUGGUAUAAUACAGCAUACAGCAGGAAUGACUCCAUUUCAGGUUCUAUAUAGUAGAGAGCCACCCAAUCUACGUCGUUAUAUCUUGGGCAGCUCCUCUGAUGAUUUGGUGGAGAAGUAUAUGCUUAAACAAGAUGAAGUGCUGGAUAAUUUGAAGACCAAUUUGCUUAAGGCUCAGCAUUGAUGAAGUUAGUGGCGGAUAAGAAACGCACUGAUGCACAGUUUGAGGAAGAUGAAUGGGUAUAUGUCAAGCUCAAACCGUACCACCAGGUCUCCAUGAGACUCCAACGCCAUCAUAAAUUGGGCAAAAAGUAUGUUGGACCCUUUAAGGUCAUUAAGAGGAUCGAAAAUGUGGCUUAUAAAUUGGAGUUGCCAGAUUCUGCUCGCAUCCAUUCUAUUUUCCACAUAUCGUUGCUCAAGAGGUGUGUAGGACAACCUGAUCAACAGGUCAUUCCCCUGUUUCCUCAAGAACCGGAAUCUGCAGCUGAUGCAAACCUUGAGGACAAGGGUUUAAAUUUAGAAGGAGGUAAUGUUAUGAAUGAGAAAAGUUUGGCUAGUAAUUGGGAAUACAUGGUGGACCAAUGAGCUGAUGUAUAUAAUAGAGGAAGAGGUCAAAGGAUUAAAAAGCCAAAUUGCAGACUUGGUGACUAUGAUGUGAACCAUGGUUAGAGGAUAGGGGUAAAUUAGUGGAGUGGGGGACAAGGAAUCUGGUGGUUAUAUAAUUGGCAGAGUCAUGGACGUAUUAGCUAUGCUGAAUGUUAUGAAUACUCUGUACCCUUCUUACCCCCAAAUUCUUUUGAAAUCUCAUCCAUCCCCUUCUUCUAGUGUCUCAUCCCCUUCUAUUUAGUGUUCUAUUGUUAGCUUUUUCCCUGUAACUUCCAGUUAUUAAUGAAAACAAGUUUUCUUAUUGCCGUGGAUCUCUAAGUUUAUCAGUUUUUUACUUCAUUGGUGCUUUCAUUGACGUUCCAAUGGUGUACACACGACUUAAGGUCUUGGAAGACGGCCAAAGCGGAUUAGCUCGUGAGGUAUCUGAUAUCAAAACUGCUAUGGAUAAUCAAAACAAGCUGAUGCAGGAGAUCCUAUCACAAAUAUCCAAUAUUGGUGCUCGUAUGCAUGAUUCUGUGGGUGAGCCUUCACCACGGAACCCGUCGGAGGUUGUCAUUUCUCAAGGAUCUGGAACAAGUGGUCCAGUGUCUCUACGACACAAACCAGCUGCGAUUGAGCUCUACCGUUUCAGUGGCGAUAACCCAGAUGAUUGGAUUAUUUAUGCGACCAGGUAUUUCGAUUUCUAUUCUAUCCUCACGGAGCAUCGUUUGAACAUCACAUCCUUUUAUCUUGACGAAGAAACUCGGGCUUGGUACCGGUGGAUGCACCGUAACAACCAGUUGGUAGGUUGGGAUGAUUUCUCUGAGAAGCUGAUUCGCCGUUUCCGGCAAAAGACCCUACAGUCACCUGAAGGUUGUCUUUCUAAGCUUUACCAGACCUCGUCAGUGGCAGAGUUCCGCUCACGUUUUGAGGCUUUGUCUAACGAAACAGAGAAGAUAUUAGACUCAUAGUUAGUUCACUUCUUCACUUCGGGCCUUAAUUCGGAUAUUCAAACUAAUUUGUUAAUCCAACAGCCCAAAACAUUGGAGGAGGCAAUGAGUUUAGCCCAUCUCCACGAAAAAUGCAUUGAGUUAGAGCGGGGGCCCAAUAGACCUAUCCUGGGUAAUACGUAACCUCUCUUUCCAACCCCUUCUAAAUUUCCACUCACUCAAACACGACCUACCCCUAGUGUUAACACUGCUACUUCUGGCAAAAUUCAUUUUAAAUGUCUUUCGCCAAUCGAGCUCCGACAACGCCGUGAAAAGGGUUUAUGUACCAUUGCGAUGAAAAAUACACUCCAAACCAUAGGUGUAAAAACCUACCCCAACUCCUUCUUUUUGAUAAUGAGCCAGAACCCCAACUUUGUUUUCCAGACCCCAUUGCCUCUGAUGAGAUUCCUUCAGAAGAGUUCACAAACUUGGAACUUCAGGACCAUUCUGCUAUUUCCUAUCAUGCAUUGGUAGGAGGGCAUUCUGGUUUAAGGGCCAUGUGAGUGGCUCACCGGUUUAAGUAUUGGUAGAUGGAGGCAGUAAACACAAUUUUGUGCAAACCAGGGCUGCAAAGUUUCUCAAUUUCACUAUUACUGCUAUUCCUCGUUACCCUGUUGUUGUGGGUAGUGGGCAAAGCCUAAUUUGUGAAGGGCCAGUACCUCAAGUAACCCUUACAGUCUAGGGCUCUGAACUUAUUCUGGAUUUAUAUGUCCUACCCAUGCAUGGGGCAGACAUUGUCUUGGGUGUGUCGUGGCUAGCCUCUUUGGGAUCUGUAAUGAGAGAUUAUGCUAGUCGAGUUUUGAAUUCACACUCAAGGAUAAAGGGGUUCAUUGGAUAGCAGACCCACCCUUGGAUGUGCAACAAGUGCAAUUGCAGACCUUGCGUCGUUAUUCCACGACUGAGGCAGCAACAUCUUAUUUUUGCCUGAUGAUGGUUCAAGAGGGAAUCACCUCUAAUUUAGAUCAUCCCCCGGAUUUGUCUAACAUUCUUGUGAACUUUGUUGAUGUAUUUAAAAAACCACAAGGGUUGCCUUCGCCUCGCCAGCAAGAUCAUUCAAUUCCAUUAAUUCCAAAUGUCGGCCUAGUUAAUGUGAAGCCUUAUCGAUAC